CGUGCGUUACGUUCUGCAGACACGCGCAAUGAUAGCCGGAAGCACCGAUGGGAGGAAAAUAAAAAAAUCGAUGAAAUUCACUGUUAUUCGCGAGUGUAAACCUUUCACGUACUGUCCUUUUGGCGACGUAGGCUCGAAUCUGUUAGCCACUUCCACUGCCACUGAGCCGGAGGGGACGGCACAGAACAGGAGAGCUGCUGCUUUUGAACCAAGUUGCUCGGUAGGGGUUUAGCUGACGUGUGGAGAAGUUGAGACUGCCAGAGAGCAGAUAAACAAACAUAAACAAGCAGGGAUCAGCUGAGCGCCAGUCCGAACCGAACCAGCAGCACGGAGAGAUGCCAGAGAGGACGAGUCUCCUCUUCUGAGCCCGACAAUGAUCCACAGGAGACCGUGACUUACACUCAUACUAGCUCCAUGUCAACUGUCAACACUGGCACACAAAGAAUUUCGGAAACACAACACGAGGAGCAGCCAUAGGCUUUAGCAGGGAAUCCACUGCUCCUGUCACUGUCUGCUUGUCAAGACAUAGCCAGGCUAGCAUGGACAACCAAUGAGUUUACCGUGCAGUUUUCAGCUGUAACGAGACGAGUACAUAUUACAGUGCAAGGAGAGAGCCACUGGUGUCAGAAGUGGGAUUAACAUGGCCCACCAGGCGACCCCUAGUUCCCAGAAGGCCCUGAUGAUGGAGCUGAAGUCUCUGCAGGAGCAGCCGGUGGAGGGCUUCCGCAUCACUCUGGUGGAGGAGUCUGACCUCUACAACUGGGAAGUGGCCAUCUUCGGACCCCCAAACACCCUGUACGAGGGGGGCUACUUCAAGGCUCACAUCAAGUUCCCAGUGGACUACCCGUACUCCCCGCCAACCUUCCGCUUCCUCACCAAGAUGUGGCACCCCAACAUCUACGAGAACGGAGAUGUGUGCAUCUCCAUCCUGCACCCUCCUGUUGAUGACCCUCAGAGCGGCGAGCUACCCUCUGAAAGGUGGAACCCUACCCAGAACGUCAGGACUAUCCUGCUCAGUGUGAUCUCUCUGCUCAAUGAGCCCAACACCUUCUCCCCAGCCAAUGUGGAUGCGUCUGUCAUGUUUCGCAAAUGGAGGGACAGCAAAGGCAAGGACAAGGAAUACGCAGAGAUUAUUAGGAAGCAGGUGAUGUCAACAGCGGCGGAGGCAGAGCGCGAUGGUGUCAAGGUGCCGACCACAUUGGCGGAGUACUGCGUCCAGACCAGGGUUCCCUCCCAGGACAGCAGUUCAGACCUUCUCUAUGACGACCUGUACGACGACGACAUGGAGGAGGAGGACGAGGAGGAGGACGAGAGCGAGAUGGAGUCCGUAGGUGAAGCCGGGGGGAUCAGCGCCGCAGAGGACGGCGGGACGUCCACCAGGCGUUAUGACAACCAGGACGACUCCGGCAACGAAGACUCGUGAUGAUCUGGAUGAUAACUCCUCCCUGCCAAUCCGCACCCCUCCCCCAACUACCACCCUCCUUCUCUUAUGUUUGGUUGACAUCCUGUCCUCCCUGACUUGUCCGCUGUAUUUCCUGGGAUGGCUCAGACAGUCUCUGGCUAAUGGACUGCUUGUUUGGCUCAUUAACCAGUCGAUGAGCUGGCCAGCUUGUCCUGUCAUUGUCCAUCUGUGAGUCCCAGAAUAUCUCUGUCCCUCUCGCACUUGUCUGUUUGUUUGACUUCGAUGUAAUCAACUUAAACUUGCAAACGCGGGCUUUGCCGUGACACCCCCACCCCCCACCACCCCGGUCCUCUCUUGGACCCACCUUUAGUAGUGUCCACUGCUCCCUCAUGAUCCCUCAAAGCAAUGUCAGUUGGUUUGGGGGGUGAACAAGGUUAUGACCUUUUCUCACGUCGCCUCCUACACCUCUCUCUGCCUCUUAAACCUCAGGGCCUCAAUAGACUUUCGCUGAGAGAGAAAAACCAGUGAAAGAGAAACUUAACACACAGACUGCUCCUCACCUCCACCUCCUUUUCUUACUUUCUGCAUCACUGGGUGGUUUUAGAGGGCAGAGAGUGAACUGAAAGUCUCCAAUCCCAGCGUGUUUACGCGUGACUGAGUGUUGCUAUUGCUCCUGAUUAGGGUCCUAUUAAGUUGUUUUCUUCCCGGUAGGCUAGAGUCAAUUUAAAAAAAAAUCAUAAUACACCUGUAGGGACUUCCUCCUCGAGACAAUGCUCACAUUAUGUUGCAAUAGGUGUGAAAAUGUUACGUUUUUUGCAACGUGACUCCAACUUCAGCUUAAACGCAAUUUAGUGAAAAUUGGACGUUGUUACUGUGCUACACCACAUCCAGAGUCUGUUUAUUGACAGGGACAAAAUCAACAUGCAGCUUAGCUACACAUUUGCAUUUGAAUGAAUAUGACACUGAUUGCCUGUUAUAUGUGUGUGUGUGCGUGUGUGUGUGUGUGUGCGUAUAUAUAUAUUUACAUUUACUAUUGACUACAUUGUCAGGGUUUUCUUGUUCCUGUCUCUGUGGAACUGGCGCAGACUCCAGUCACACAAGUGAGUUUGCCUAAAUGACCUUUUGGACUUUGUCCAGUUGAGAAAACAUUCAGUGUGUUUGCACUGUGUUCUAGUGCUGUUUUGGAAGGCCUGAAUUGGCUGAGGAUUUGACUGAUUUAAAACACCCUCUGAGUAUUAAACUUUUGAACACACUGAACAGCAUAAUGUGACUAAUAUUACUUGUACGGCAUCAAGUAAACCACACAUUUUGAGCUGUGUUUUAUGAUUGUGGGCAUGAAUCUGUUGCCCUUUUCAACACAACAAAGCACUGCGCAAACCUUUGAUUCAAAUGGAUGGACUUUAUGCCAAGGAAAUUCAAGUACAGCCCCACAGCCGUUCAUUUUAAAGACUAUGGAGCAAUGGACGCAUGUGGUGGAUUUACCGCUGUUUGAAUAAACUCUUUAAGAGAUAAUUACCUUUUGGAUUUUAAUGUGAAGCCAAAGGAGUGAAACUUUUCCUCCUGGCCCUGUGCUUUGGAGGCUCACAGAGACACGAUCCUGUCGAGGACGGGGAGAGGAUAUCCACACCUGGACUGGAUCUUUAAUGGAUUUGAUACCAAGGCACAACAGGAAGUGGAUAGAUGCCAGAGAUUGUGAAAUUUUCUUGAUGUUUUCCCCAUCUUUUGCCCAUCCCUCAUCAUAUAGAGAAGUGAAAUUGUAGUUACCAAAUGUACCAAUCUCAUAUGUGUCUGCUGAAGGACUAGUUUAACGUAUUUGGAAAUACACUUACCCACCUUAAAUAUGAAACUAGCAUGUUAGCUUAGCUUUGGACAAAGACUGGAAAAUGGAGGGGGGGGGG